GAGACAGUUCUCUCUUGAGGCAGUCAGGGCUGGUGGCUGUGGCUUGAGUAAUCUGAAUUCUCAGCUAGUCCCAACAUCCAAGAGGGCAUAUUCACCUGGCUGAGGGCCGGCUUCCUCAGUCACGAGGCCUCAGCUCCACGUGAUCCAAGCAGGAGCUGCUGAUCCUUGGAAAAGAAUGGCUCAGGGCAGCGAGCUCUCCUUUGCUUACCUGCAGGGAGCGCGUUAGGGAAGGCGUUCUCUCUCGAGAAGGAAGCUCAGUCGUCCUUAACCUUCGACACAUGUAGAUGAAAGAGGCUCUUCUCUUAUUAUAUGAGUUGCUUAUUGUUACUUAAAUGGAAAGUUUACCACGGUGGAUGCAGGCAAGAAAUGGAAAGCAAAUUUUGUUAAUCGGGAGCACAGAAUUCUGCAGUCAACUGACGAGUGUAGCAACACAGCAAGGACAGGAGGAUAUCGGACGGUUGCACUCGUGAUGACUGAGGAAUGUUUGUUUCAUCACAAAGUAAUAGAUUGGAAAAACCUGCAUACAUUACUGUCCAGGGGAGCCGUAAAUAAGACGAACUUCUUACACAAAGUAUCUUUUCUCGAGAGAGAGGUGGAUUUUUGCCAGAGCCAUUUCCAUUAAUUUCCUCACAGAGUGUCUUCGGCAAUCCUGACCCGCCGUGUGGAGGGAGCAUUCGGAGAGGCGCUGCCCGCUCUGCGAGCUCGCUGCCGCGCUGCUCAGUCAGGGGAUGCAUUGCCGAGGGUCCUGGAACUGUCUCCCUUGGAUACUAAGGGGCAAAAGUAUUCCUGUUUGGGACGAAGGGACUUUGAUACCAGUCAGGAGUACAUUGCACUUCCCUAAGAAUUGUCUACAAAGCCACCGUUACUACUGUGUAAUUUAAGAUCACAGAAAAAUGCUUGGUGGAAACACGAUGCAGUAAGAUCUUCGCACAGCUGUCAGAGGUUUCGCGCCCGUCCCCAUCCCCAUGGGCCUGCCAGGCCCCGCCCGACGCCACAGUCCUGUACCAAGGUUGUCUGGGUUGAGGACACAGUGAUAUUCUACUGUGUGCGUUUUUGAAUUGAAGAAUGUUUGCUAGGCUUUGGAAUGAGUGAACAGAGCAUGCUGGGAGAAACUACCUGUCUCUGUGUAUCUGUCUGUGUGUGGACCACCACUAGCCUGCUCAGGGGCUGCACAGUCUGUUCCCGCGCUCAGGACCUUUCAAAGCUGACCGGAAGUGAGUCCCGGAGCUCCCGGCAGGGCGGGGAAGAGAAGCGUGGAUUUCUGUGACCCAAGCUGCGAUCCUUCCGCCCCCUUUGUCUCCGCUGCAGGUACACUGAGGGACAUCCGUGCGGCGUGAUCACACGGCAGGAGACCUGGCCUGGAAUCAGGCGCUUGGAAGACGGCUCCACUUCCUCCUCCUCACGCGAGUGUCCUGCUCGACUUCUCAGCUGUCCACCGCCCGCACGGAACCGAGGGGCGCAGACGUUUCUUUGCCGCUGUCUCGCACUUGCUGUGUGCCCGCACCGGGCUUCGUUAUCACAGCUAAUUAAGAUGAUGCUGGAAGGCUGCACUGUGCUUCAUGUUCGCUAUUUACUGAAUAUUAGGGGUUACUCUACUCUCCUUAGCAGCGGAGACAGAGAAGUAUCAGGAGCUUAAAAAUGCCCGGAGUUUGCAUCUAAGAGUUUGCCUAGAGUCUCAGAGAUUUUGGACUUGGGCUUUUAAGAAAUGCCAAAAGUAUCAAUUCUUUGGUGACUCUAAGAGAUAUACUAAAUUCAUUUUGCAUGAGGAGGAAAAUCUAAAAUGUCUCUUGAAGGUCUC
ensembl:lncRNA